UAUGUGAUCGUCUCUCGCAUAUCAAUAAGCGGAGGAAAAGAAACUAACAAGGAUUCCCUUAGUAACGGCGAGUGAAGCGGGAAGAGCUCAAAUUUGAAAUCUUCAAGGUUUUACCUUGACGAAUUGUAGUUUAAAGAAGUGUUUUCUGUUGAAGUUUUGGUAAAAGUUCUUUGGAAUAGGACAUCAUAGAGGGUGAGAAUCCCGUAUUUGACCAUUAUUUUCAGCUGUGUGAUACACUUUCAAAGAGUCGGAUUGUUUGGGAAUGCAGUCCAAAAUGGGUGGUAAAUUUCAUCUAAAGCUAAAUAUUGGCGAGAGACCGAUAGUGAACAAGUACCGUGAGGGAAAGAUGAAAAGAACUUUGAAAAGAGAGUUAAACAGUACGUGAAAUUGUCAAAAGGGAAGCGUUUGACACCAGUGUUGUUUUCUCGAAAAUCAAUUAAAAAGAGUUAGAUUUUGUUGUGUAUUGACCUUAACAGCUUGCAUUUCAAUUUUCUUGCUUUUUUUAAUGCACUUUUCGUUUAACAAGUCAACAUCAGUUUCUUUUGUUGUAAAAAGGUCAUUGGAAGGUGGCUUUCUUUUCGGAGAAAGUGUUUAUAGCCUUUGACUCCUGCAAUCGGAGAGACUGAGGUCUGCAGCGUAGAUCCUUCGGGGUUAGAUACAUUUGUGCUAAGUUAUAGCUUUUUAUAGACAACUUGUUGACUAUGAUUAGUCUUGUAGCUUACUCGCUUAUGCUAUUUUACCUACGCUUAGGAUGUUGAAGAUGUAGCACAUCAU
rnacentral:rRNA from 1 species